CCGAGAUGAAUACCCAGCCAUUCGGAUGUGCGAACCAAAAAUAAUCGGAAGCGCGAGACUAAGGCGGCAUCCGUCUGUGGGGGGCACCUGUAAACCGUAAUUGGUCACACUUUUGUGGUUGUUGUUCGUGUG
ensembl:ncRNA F28F5.13 ncRNA